AGAAACAUCUGAGAUGGUACCAAGCUGCACCUUUAUCCAUAUCAUCCGGAAGGAUGUAGAUGUUUAUUCUAAAAUUUUGAGAAAACUCUUCAAUGAAUCACAUGGAAUCUUUGUGGGCCUUCAGAGAAUUGAAGAAGAAUUGAAUGGAAAAUCCAGAAAAGCCCAAUUGCUUCAGUGAGUAAGAACUACCGAUCUGUGAUGUGAGCAUGUAUGGAGGAGAUGCACCAGGUUGCAAUUGCUGGGAAAGAUGGAGCCAGUGGCCACCGAUUCAGCAGCCAGGUUUCUACAGUACUAGAAGAUGGCCUCAAAUUUGUAGUGACCCUCCUGUCUCAGCCGCUAGGUACAGGAAUUACAGGCAUGCACCUCCAUGAUCAACUUCCUUUUUUUCUGAGGUCCGCAUUUUGUCAGCAGUGGAGCUAAUUUGGAACCUGUGUGAGACCCUUUUUAUUGACGUACUCCCGGAGACUUCGUGAGGAUGUUCUCCAGUACUGUGAGUGACACAUGCGUCUGUCCCAAGUCCCUGAAGAAGAAAGCCAGACAGAAAUGAGGAAGCCCAAUGCCAAAAGUCUGUGCUUCAACAGGUAUUUGAAGGAUAUCUUAUUAUUGCACUUUUGCCUCCCAGUGAAACAAGCCAGCACAUAACUUUACAUGAACUAUAAUCCCAGAGAAGUCUUCAUGCAAAAAUUCAAAUUUAAUGUUUUCAUCAUCAAAUGAAUGACCUUGGCAUUGCAUAGUAGAUGCUGCAUCUGUGUUUCAGUCACCAUCAUACUUCACAUUUUUAUAUUGCAUUCACAUCUCUCACUGUGUUGUUCUUUUUAGUAACAAGGCCACUAUGUUUCCUGGGGUAAUGGUGUUCCUGCAUCCACUGAUGUGAUCCGUGUCUACCGUGUUCCUCAGUGGUGCUCCCGAUCCCUGCUGACUCUCUUGCCCAUUAUACAUCUUAAUCCUUCUCUUUGUGAAUAACCUGAUUAAAAUUAAACUUAUGACCUGUAGGAUCAAAGUACAAUACUGUACCAUUCUUGGAAGGAAGCAAGAAGAGCCAAAGUCAUAUUAUGACUUAAAGGUUAUGGCAAUACUUACAGAUAAUUUAAUGCUUGUAAUGUAAAAAGUGAUGGAUCUUCGAUAGUUGUCAGAGGAUUAUUAUUGAGAAUUCUGAAAAAUGCAAUGGGAUAAAAGUUAUCUGUAUUUUCAAUAUGCAUGAAAUUACAUAAAAAGUUGAUAUUCUUUUUUUGGUAUGGAGCUGAUUCAUAGGUUAAAAAACCAUUUUCUUUGAUUACCUAUGAAUAAACCUUAAAAUGCAUAAAGCA